UCAACGGAGAGUUUGAUUCUGGCUCAGGACGAACGCUGGCGGCGUGCUUAACACAUGCAAGUCGAACGAUGAAGCCUAGCUUGCUAGGUGGAUUAGUGGCGAACGGGUGAGUAAUACGUGAGUAACCUACCUUUAACUCUGGGAUAAGCCUGGGAAACUGGGUCUAAUACCGGAUACGACCAAUCUCCGCAUGGGGUGUUGGUGGAAAGCGUUAUGUAGUGGUUAUAGAUGGGCUCACGGCCUAUCAGCUUGUUGGUGAGGUAACGGCUCACCAAGGCGACGACGGGUAGCCGGCCUGAGAGGGUGACCGGCCACACUGGGACUGAGACACGGCCCAGACUCCUACGGGAGGCAGCAGUGGGGAAUAUUGCACAAUGGGCGCAAGCCUGAUGCAGCGACGCCGCGUGAGGGAUGACGGCCUUCGGGUUGUAAACCUCUGUUAGCAGGGAAGAAGAGAGAUUGACGGUACCUGCAGAGAAAGCGCCGGCUAACUACGUGCCAGCAGCCGCGGUAAUACGUAGGGCGCGAGCGUUGUCCGGAAUUAUUGGGCGUAAAGAGCUUGUAGGCGGUUUGUCGCGUCUGCUGUGAAAGGCCGGAGCUUAACUCCGUGUAUUGCAGUGGGUACGGGCAGACUAGAGUGCAGUAGGGGAGACUGGAAUUCCUGGUGUAGCGGUGGAAUGCGCAGAUAUCAGGAGGAACACCGAUGGCGAAGGCAGGUCUCUGGGCUGUAACUGACGCUGAGAAGCGAAAGCAUGGGGAGCGAACAGGAUUAGAUACCCUGGUAGUCCAUGCCGUAAACGUUGGGCACUAGGUGUGGGGAACAUUCCACGUUUUCCGCGCCGUAGCUAACGCAUUAAGUGCCCCGCCUGGGGAGUACGGCCGCAAGGCUAAAACUCAAAGAAAUUGACGGGGGCCCGCACAAGCGGCGGAGCAUGCGGAUUAAUUCGAUGCAACGCGAAG
rnacentral:rRNA from 1 species